rnacentral:rRNA from 1 species
GACAGAGGUGCCAAGCGUUUAGGCGGAAUCACUGGGCUUAAAGCGUGUGUAGGCGGAAUUGUAAGUACCUUGUGAAAUCCCAUGGCUCAACCAUGGAACUGCUCGGUAUACUGCUUUUCUUGAGCCACUUUAGGGGCUACCGGAACAAAUGGUGGAGCGGUGAAAUGCGUAGACAUCAUUUGGAACGCCAAUGGUGAAAACAGGUAGCUGGGAGUGUGCUGACGCUGAGACACGAAAGCCAGGGGAGCGAACGGG